rnacentral:rRNA from 1 species
AGAGUUGAUCUGGCUCAGGAUGAACGCUAGCUACAGGCUAACACAUGCAAGUCGAGGGCAGCAGGACGAUAGCUUGCUAUUGUUGCUGGCGACCGGCGCACGGGUGAGUAACGCGUAUCCAACCUUCCCCUUAGUAGGGCAUAGCCCGGUGAAAAUCGGAUUAAUACCCUAUGUUGUGUCAUGAGGACAUCUGAAUAACACUAAAGAUUUAUCGCUAAGGGAUGGGGAUGCGUCCGAUUAGGUAGUCGGCGGGGUAACGGCCCACCGAGCCCUCGAUCGGUAGGGUUCUGAGAGGAAGGUCCCCCACACUGGUACUGAGACACGGACCAGACUCCUACGGGAGGCAGCAGUGAGGAAUAUUGGUCAAUGGGCGUAAGCCUGAACCAGCCAAGUAGCGUUGCAGGAUGACGGCCCUAUGGGUUGUAAACUGCUUUUAUACGGGGAUAAAGUGAGGGACGUGUCCCUUAUUGUAGGUACCGUAUGAAUAAGGACCGGCUAAUUCCGUGCCAGCAGCAGC